rnacentral:rRNA from 1 species
GACGAACGCUGGCGGCGUGCUUAACACAUGCAAGUCGAACGGUGACCCCUUUUCGGAGGGUGAUCAGUGGCGAACGGGUGAGUAACACGUGAGCAACCUGCCCCUGGCUCUGGGACAACCACUGGAAACGGUGGCUAAUACCGGAUACGACCUACCUCGGCAUCGGGUGUGGGUGGAAAGUUUUUCGGCUGGGGAUGGGCUCGCGGCCUAUCAGCUUGUUGGUGGGGUGAUGGCCUACCAAGGCGACGACGGGUAGCCGGCCUGAGAGGGCGACCGGCCACACUGGGACUGAGACACGGCCCAGACUCCUACGGGAGGCAGCAGUGGGGAAUAUUGCACAAUGGGCGCAAGCCUGAUGCAGCGACGCCGCGUGAGGGAUGACGGCCUUCGGGUUGUAAACCUCUUUCAGCUCCGAAGAAGCUGCACUUUUUGGUGUGGUGACGGUAGGAGCAGAAGAAGCACCGGCUAACUACGUGCCAGCAGCCGCCGUAACAC